rnacentral:misc_RNA from 1 species
GAUGAAGAACGCAGCGAAAUGAGAUAAGUAAUGCGAAUUGCAGAAUCCGUGAGUCAUCGAAUCUUUGAACGCACAUUGCGCCCCUUGGUUAUUCCGAAGGGCAUGCCUGUUCGAGCGUCAUUAUCACCCCUCAAGCCCUGGCUUGGUGUUGGACUUUAGUUAUAGCUUUGCCUAUCAACUAGUCUCAAAGAUAGUGACGGCGCCCCAGAGGGAACCGGGUACGAGGAGCUUUUUACUAAGCAUGUAUCUGGGACGACUCUGGGCGACGGUCUUGUUAUACUUUUUACCUAAGUGUUGACCUCGGAUCAGGUAGGAAUACCCGCUGAACUUAAGCAUAUCAAUAAGCGGAGGA